ACUAGCGCGGCGGCCGCCGGCCCGCAAUGGUGCUACCCUGGUUGCUGCUCGAGACUGCGCGCAGGGCGGUCCUCGGGUCCGCGGAGGCUGCGCUCUGCGCCAUGAAAAUGACAGAUGAAAAUAGAAAAGUGUGGCUGGUCUGAAGUGGAUGAAGUAGGUGAAGCUCUACAGAUGAAUCCAAGAGACUUCAAAGAGAAGUACAAUGAAGUAAAACCAUCCAAAUCUGACAGCUAGUGUUUUCUUAUUUAGCCGGAGUGAGAAGCAAGAAGGCCCUGGACACAGCAAUAUCUCUGGGCUUUCACAGAGAUAAUAGCGGCCAGGCGUGGUGGCUCACGCCUGUAAUCCCAGCACUUUGGGAGGCCGAGGCAGGUGGAUCACGAGGUCAGGAGAUCAAGACCACCCUGGCCAACAUGGUGAAACCCUGUCACUACUAAAAAUACAAAAAUUAGCUGGGCAUGGUGGCACACUCCUGUAGUCCCAGCUACUUGGAAGGCUAAGGCAGGAGAAUCGCUUGAACCUGGGAAGCGGAGGUUGCAGUGAGCCGAGAUCGCACCACUGCACUCCGAUCUGGCAACAGAGUGAGACUCCAUCUCAAAAAAAAAAUGUUUAUAGCACUAUUUGAUGUAUGUUUUCAGUGCUUAACACUAUGCCAGAGGAUGGAAAGAAUGGGUAACCUGUGAAUUUUCAGAGAAGAAACAAGGAAAUUGAAUUUUUGGAAUACAAGUUGGCUCUUUCCUUGUGUACAUGCAGCCUAGGAUAGUGGAAUGAGCAAAAUAUUAAAAAUCUAGUCCUGGCACCACUGGUUAUGGUAAGGGGAUUUUUGUAUAAGUCAAUUAGUUGUUGAAUCAUUUUCUCAUCUGUAAAUUGAAAAUGGCACUCUCCCCUGAGAUAAUGCAUGUUACUUGCCAUGGAAAUAUAAGGGUCAGGAUUCUAUGAAUUAAUUUUUAAGUAGCUUAGUAUCAUUCAAUAGUAUUCUAAAAUACCAGGUUACUUAUACUACCUACUCAUGUAUGACAUUUGUGUUAGUAUACCUUCUAUUCAUCAAAGGGGCUAUGAGCUAGACCUGCAGAUUAACACGCAGAUGUGGCCUUAAAAAAAAAUCAGUUAAUCUGGGAUCCAGAGAAGUAGGUGAAAUUUGAACAAUGAAAAUACAUUAACAGCUUCUAAAGAUUUAUAGCAGUAUUAUGACCAGCAUGGUAGUGAUGAAAUUUGCAAUUUAAAAAAUUAAAAUUGGGCCAGUUGUGGUGGCUCAUGCCUAUAAUCCCAGCACUUUGGGAGGCCGAGGAGGGUGGAUCAUGAGGUCAGGAGAUCAAGACCAUCCUGGCCAACAUGGUGAAACCACCCCCCGUCUCUACUAAAAUACAAAAAAUCAGCCAGGCAUGGUGGCGGGUGCCUGUAGUCCCAGCUACUCGGGAGGCUGAAGCAGGAGAAUCAUUUGAAUCCGGGAGGCGGAGGUUGCAGUGAGCCAAGAUUGCAUUACUGCACUCCAGCCUGGUGACAGUGUGAGACUCCGUCUCACACACACACACACACACACACAAAAUAAAUAAAUAAAAUAAAAAUUAUUAGUAUGGGGAUAAUCAGAACAGUGGUUGCUGUUCUAGAGGGAAGAAGAUUAACUGGAAAAGGCAAGGAGGGUGGCUCAGGCCUAUAAUCCCAGAACUUUGGGAUGCCUAGGCAGGCAGAUCGCUUGAGCUCAGGAGUUCAAGACCAACCCGGGCAACAUGGUGAAACCCAGUCUCUACAAAAAAAAUACAAAAAAUUAGCCAGGCAUGGUGGCACGUGCCUGUGGUCCCAGCCACUUGGGGGGCUAAAGCAGGAGGAUCCCUUAAACACUGGAAGAUCACACCACUGCACUCCAGCCUGGGUGACAGAGUGAGACCCUGUCUCAGAACAACAACAACAACAAAAUUGAAAAACAAAAAAACAAACAAAAAAGGCAAGGAGAGAACUUUCUAGGGUGAUGGAAAUGUUCUGUAUCUUGACUGAGGUAUUGGUACAUAGGUAUAUACAUUUGUCAAAACACAUUAAACACUUAAAUGUACAUUUUUGGUAAGUGAUUAUACCUCAGUUUAAAAAUAAUGAAAACAGAAAUGCCUAAAUGUAAAUGACUCCCACUAGCAUGGGUAUAUUCCUUUGGAAUGUUAAGUCCUACACUUAAUUAGUGUGCUAAUGCACUGGUGGCAAAAUAAACCUGUUUUCUCUUGUCUGUGCCUCUUUAGACCCAUGUAGUGUAUUUUUAGACUCACUCAUGCAGUCAUUCUUGUAGUACCUAUAAGGACAAUGUCAGAAAUAUAUAUAUUUCUGUCAGUGUGUGUGUGUGUAUAUAUACACAUAUAUGUGUGUGUAUAUAUACACAUAUAUACAUAUGUAUACAUAUACAUAUACAUAUAUACACACACACAUAUAUGAAGGCAAGGAGAGAACUUUCUAGGGUGAUGGAAAUGUUCUGUAUCUUGACUGAGGUCAAGAUAUAUAUAUAUACACACACACACACAUACACAUAUAUAAGAGCCAUAAUCUCAGGGAGAAGGAAAGUUGUAGACAAUGAACCAACAUUGAAGUACUGGGCCCAUCAAGGAACAGGAUUGUGGGUAAAUACAUCAGGCUUUUAGUCGGAAUCCUGAAAAGGCUAUGCCCUAGAAGUAGAGUUGAACCAGAAAUUCACAACCCCCACAAGAACUCAAAACAAGCUUUGAAUCAAUUAAAUCCCUGAAUGAAUUAAGGUGAUCUUCCUAAUAUCUUAAGGGCCUACCAGAAGUAAAUCCUCUCUAGAGAAAGAUACCAUUAUCUAGCUAGAACAGAGGUUGGCAAUAAUCAAUCUUUUAGUCUUGUGGCCAAUUAGGUUUCUGUUGCAACUGCUCAACUCUGCUGUUGCAGCACAAAAGCAGCCACAGACAAUAUAUAAUGUGACUAUUCCAGUAACUCUACUUAUGGCCACUUAGGUUUGAAUUUUAUGUUUCAUGUGUUGCCAAAUAUUAUUCUUCAUUUGAUUAUUUUUCAAUCAUUUAAACAUACAGCAAACAUUCUUAAAGCCAGACAAAAACAGGUAGCAGGUCAGAUUUGGUCCAUGGGGCAUAAUUUGUAGAUCCCUGAGCUACAGCCACAAAUUUUCCUUACAAUUUUUCACAUACAAUUUCACCUUACAAUUUUCACAUACAAUUUCAGGUAUUCUAUCAAAAAUUAAUAGGCACGGCAGUCAAUAGGACCUUAUGAUUGAGAAAUAAUGGAAAAACAAGACAAGAGAAACAAAUCCACAGAAGAUCUACAGAUUGGAGUUUUCAGACACAGACUUUAAAAUAACUGUGAUUAAUAUAUUCAGUAACUUAGAUAACAAAAUUACAGUAACUGAAAUUAAACACCCAAUAGAAGGUAGAUAGGUUUAAUGGCCAAUUAGACACACCUGAUGACAGGAUUAGUGAAAAUGGAAAAAUCAGAGGUACAUGUAUUAACAUGGAUGACUCUUACAAUGUUGAGGGAAAAAAGCAAAUUACAGAAACAUAUACUGUAUAGUUUUUGUUUGUUUGUUUGUUUUUUAAGACAAGCUUUUUCACUGUUACCCAGGCUGAAAUGCAGUGGCAAGAUCACAGCUCAUUGCAACCUAUACCUCCUGGGCUGAAGCAAUCCUCCCACCUCAGCCUCCAGAAUAGCUGGGACUACAGGCACGCACCACCACACCUGGAUAGUUUUUUCACUUUCUGUAGAGACAGGGUCUCGCUAUGUUGCCCAGGUUAGUCUCGAACUCCUAGCCUCAACUGAUCCUACUGCUUCUGCCUCCCAAAGCACUGGAAUUACAGGCAUGAGACACCAUGCCUGGCCAGUAUAGUUUUUAAACAUACAAAAUAUAUUAUUAUUUAGGCAUAUGGACAUAUAUAGUGUAAGUAUAAAUAAAUUAUAAAAAUAUCUACUUCUGAAUGGUUUCUAAUGGGGGAAGGGAGACGAACACAAUAGGCUUUAACAGUAUUGUUGACAAUUUUAUUUAAUAUGUUUGGUAGGUAAGCACUUAUUUUUACCUUUUGUAUGCAUGGGACAGGGACUGUUGUCCCCACUUGGCUACACUUGAACAAGACUAUAUACCUUUGGAUUCCUGGUACCCUUUUUUUUUUUUUUUUAAGAAAAAAACUUGAUAAUGUAUUCUAUUUACCCAAAUAAACAAAGGGUUAAUAAAUUAGAAUAAUGUAUCUUCUAUAUUAGAUCGAACUUAGAAAGACAAUUUUAGUUGUCAUUCUGAUACAAAGAUUUAACAAAUUUUAUGUGUGUAUAUACAUAUAUAUAUAUAUAUAUAUAUAUAUAUAUAUAUAUAUAUAUAUAUAUAUAUGGUUUUUUUUUUUUUUUUUUUUUUUGAGACGGAGUCUCACUCUGCUGCCCAGGCUGAAGUGCAGUGGCAUGAUCUUGGCUCACUGCAAGCUCCACCUCCUGGGUUGACACCAGUCUCCUGCCUCAGCCUCCCGAGUAGCUGGGA
rnacentral:lncRNA from 1 species